rnacentral:rRNA from 1 species
GACGAACGCUGGCGGCGUGCCUAAUACAUGCAAGUAGAACGCUGAAGGAGGAGCUUGCUUCUCUGGAUGAGUUGCGAACGGGUGAGUAACGCGUAGGUAACCUGCCUGGUAGCGGGGGAUAACUAUUGGAAACGAUAGCUAAUACCGCAUAAUAGUAGAUGUUGCAUGACAUUUGCUUAAAAGGUGCAAUUGCAUCACUACCAGAUGGACCUGCGUUGUAUUAGCUAGUUGGUGAGGUAACGGCUCACCAAGGCAACGAUACAUAGCCGACCUGAGAGGGUGAUCGGCCACACUGGGACUGAGACACGGCCCAGACUCCUACGGGAGGCAGCAGUAGGGAAUCUUCGGCAAUGGACGGAAGUCUGACCGAGCAACGCCGCGUGAGUGAAGAAGGUUUUCGGAUCGUAAAGCUCUGUUGUAAGAGAAGAACGAGCGUGAGAGUGGAAAGUUCACACUGUGACGGUAUCUUACCAGAAAGGGACGGCUAACUACGUG